GAGAGAGACCCUGGGUAGUAAGAACUGCUAAUUCUUUACAUCUAUGGUUAAAAUCCAUAGCUCACUCG
rnacentral:tRNA from 2 species